CCUACGGGAGGCAGCAGUGGGGGAUAUUGCACAAUGAGGGGAACCCUGAUGCAGCGACGCCGCGUGGGUGAAGGAGUGCUUCGGCUUGUAAAGCGCUAUCGGCAGGGAAGAAGCAAGACGGUACCUGACUAAGAAGCCCCGGCUAACUACGUUCCAGCAGCCGCGGUAAUACGUAGGGGGCGAGCGUUAUCCGGAUUCACUGGGUGUAAAGGGGGCGUAGACGGCCAGCUAAGCCAGGGGUUAAAGCCCGGGGCCCAACCCCGGCACGGCCCUUGGAACUGUGCGGCUAGAGUGGGGGAGGGGCAGGCGGAAUUCCUGGUGUAGCGGGGAAAUGGGUAGAUAACAGGAGGAAAAC
rnacentral:rRNA from 1 species